rnacentral:piRNA from 1 species
AGGAGGAAGUAUGAAGAAGAAAAACA